GUGGAGGCAGCAGUGGGGAAUAUUGCAUAAUGGGCGCAAGCCUGAUGCAGCAACGCCGCGUGCGCGAUGAAGGCCUUCGGGUCGUAAAGCGCUUUUCAGAGGGAUGGGGAAGGACAGUACCUCUGGAAUAAGUCUCGGCUAACUACGUGCCAGCAGCCGCGGUAAAACGUAGGAGGCAAGCGUUAUCCGGAUUUACUGGGCGUAAAGCGCGUGCAGGCGGUUUGGCAAGUUGGAUGUGAAAGCUCCCGGCUCAACUGGGAGAGGUCGUUCAAAACUGCCAGACUUGAGGAUGGUAGAGGGAGGUGGAAUUCCGGGUGUAGUGGUGAAAUGCGUAGAUAUCCGGAGGAACACCAGUGGCGAAAGCGGCCUCCUGGACCAUUUCUGACGCUCAGACGCGAAAGCUAGGGGAGCAAACGGGAUUAGAUACCCGUGUAGUCCA
rnacentral:rRNA from 1 species